rnacentral:rRNA from 1 species
CUUAUGGGCCAUAUCAUUCUGCAGUGCUCAGCUGGUUUCCCACUGAAGCUAAGCAGGGUUGAGCCUGGCCAGAACCUGGAUGGGAGACCUCCUGGGGAAAACUAAGGUUGCUGAUUGAC